GCACCACAAGAACGCGUGGAGCAUGUGGCUUAAUUUGACUCAACGCGGGAAAUCUUACCGGGUCCGGACACACUGAGGAUUGACAGGCAAUAUCUCAUGUUAACGGUAAGUUUCUAACUUACCGCUUAGCAUCGAGUGUUAAAUAUGCUAGUCCUUUCAUGAUUAUGUGAUAGGUGGUGCAUGGCCGUUCUUAGUUCGUGGAGUGAUCUGUCUGCUUAAUUGCGUUUCACUAAGGGCCCAUAAAUUCAAGGUAUGUUAGCUCUCGUCGCUCUAUGGACCCCUUAACUCCAAUAUUCUUAUUGUGUUAAGCGCGUGUCUUUAUUUUAAGAGUUUUAAGACACUGCGCAUGCUGUUGGGCUCUGAAAGCAACGAACGUGACCGCAACGUCUUGUUGCCUUAAACUAGCGUAUAUUGCAAUUUAUUGCAAUAUCGCUUACAGAGGCUAUUUAAAACUAGA
rnacentral:rRNA from 1 species